UCUAGGGAGGCAGCAGUUGGGCGAAAGCCUGAUCCAGCCAUGCCGCGUGAGUGAUGAAGGCCCUAGGGUUGUAAAGCUCUUUCAACGGUGAAGAUAAUGACGGUAACCGUAGAAGAAGCCCCGGCUAACUUCGUGCCAGCAGCCGCGGUAAUACGAAGGGGGCUAGCGUUGUUCGGAAUUACUGGGCGUAAAGCGCACGUAGGCGGAUUGUUAAGUUAGGGGUGAAAUCCCAGGGCUCAACCCUGGAACUGCCUUUAAUACUGGCAAUCUCGAGUCCGAGAGAGGUGAGUGGAAUUCCGAGUGUAGAGGUGAAAUUCGUAGAUAUUCGGAGGAACACCAGUGGCGAAGGCGGCUCACUGGCUCGGUAUCGA
rnacentral:rRNA from 1 species